rnacentral:rRNA from 1 species
UGGGGAAUAUUGCACAAUGGGCGAAAGCCUGAUGCAGCAACGCCGCGUGAGUGAUGAAGGCCUUCGGGUUGUAAAGCUCUGUCUUUUGGGACGAUAAUGACGGUACCAAAGGAGGAAGCCACGGCUAACUACGUGCCAGCAGCCGCGGUAAUACGUAGGUGGCAAGCGUUGUCCGGAUUUACUGGGCGUAAAGGAUGCGUAGGUGGAUAUUUAAGUGGGAUGUGAAAUACCCGGGCUUAACCUGGGUGCUGCAUUCCAAACUGGAUAUCUAGAGUGCAGGAGAGGUAAGUGGAAUUCCUAGUGUAGCGGUGAAAUGCGUAGAGAUUAGGAAGAACACCAGUGGCGAAGGCGACUUACUGGACUGUAACUGACACUGAGGCAUGAAAGCGUGGGGAGCAAACA